UCGGAUUGUAGUCUGNAACCCGACUACAUGAAGCCGGAAUCGCUAGUAAUCGCAGGUCAGCAUACUGCGGUGAAUACGUUCCCGGGUCUUGUACACACCGCCCGUCACACCAUGGGAGCCGGAAAUGCCCGAAGCCAGUGACCCAACCUUAGGGAGGGAGCUGUCGAAGGUGGAGCCGGUAACUGGGGUGAAGUCGUAACAAGGUACC
rnacentral:rRNA from 1 species